rnacentral:rRNA from 1 species
AGCGUACACGGUGGAUGCCCUGGCAGUCAGAGGCGAUGAAGGACGUGCUAAUCUGCGAUAAGCGUCGGUAAGGUGAUAUGAACCGUUAUAACCGGCGAUUUCCGAAUGGGGAAACCCAGUGUGAUUCGUCACACUAUCAUUAACUGAAUCCAUAGGUUAAUGAGGCGAACCGGGGGAACUGAAACAUCUAAGUACCCCGAGGAAAAGAAAUCAACCGAGAUUCCCCCAGUAGCGGCGAGCGAACGGGGAGGAGCCCAGAGCCUGAAUCAGUGUGUGUGUUAGUGGAAGCGUCUGGAAAGGCGCGCGAUACAGGGUGACAGCCCCGUACACAAAAAUGCACAUGCUGUGAGCUCGAUGAGUAGGGCGGGACACGUGGUAUCCUGUCUGAAUAUGGGGGGACCAUCCUCCAAGGCUAAAUACUCCUGACUGACCGAUAGUGAACCAGUACCGUGAGGGAAAGGCGAAAAGAACCCCGGCGAGGGGAGUGAAAAAGAACCUGAAACCGUGUACGUACAAGCAGUGGGAGCCUCUUUAUGGGGUGACUGCGUACCUUUUGUAUAAUGGGUCAGCGACUUAUAUUCUGUAGCAAGGUUAACCGAAUAGGGGAGCCGAAGGGAAACCGAGUCUUAACUGGGCGUUAAGUUGCAGGGUAUAGACCCGAAACCCGGUGAUCUAGCCAUGGGCAGGUUGAAGGUUGGGUAACACUAACUGGAGGACCGAACCGACUAAUGUUGAAAAAUUAGCGGAUGACUUGUGGCUGGGGGUGAAAGGCCAAUCAAACCGGGAGAUAGCUGGUUCUCCCCGAAAGCUAUUUAGGUAGCGCCUCGUGAAUUCAUCUCCGGGGGUAGAGCACUGUUUCGGCAAGGGGGUCAUCCCGACUUACCAACCCGAUGCAAACUGCGAAUACCGGAGAAUGUUAUCACGGGAGACACACGGCGGGUGCUAACGUCCGUCGUGAAGAGGGAAACAACCCAGACCGCCAGCUAAGGUCCCAAAGUCAUGGUUAAGUGGGAAACGAUGUGGGAAGGCCCAGACAGCCAGGAUGUUGGCUUAGAAGCAGCCAUCAUUUAAAGAAAGCGUAAUAGCUCACUGGUCGAGUCGGCCUGCGCGGAAGAUGUAACGGGGCUAAACCAUGCACCGAAGCUGCGGCAGCGACGCUUAUGCGUUGUUGGGUAGGGGAGCGUUCUGUAAGCCUGCGAAGGUGUGCUGUGAGGCAUGCUGGAGGUAUCAGAAGUGCGAAUGCUGACAUAAGUAACGAUAAAGCGGGUGAAAAGCCCGCUCGCCGGAAGACCAAGGGUUCCUGUCCAACGUUAAUCGGGGCAGGGUGAGUCGACCCCUAAGGCGAGGCCGAAAGGCGUAGUCGAUGGGAAACAGGUUAAUAUUCCUGUACUUGGUGUUACUGCGAAGGGGGGACGGAGAAGGCUAUGUUGGCCGGGCGACGGUUGUCCCGGUUUAAGCGUGUAGGCUGGUUUUCCAGGCAAAUCCGGAAAAUCAAGGCUGAGGCGUGAUGACGAGGCACUACGGUGCUGAAGCAACAAAUGCCCUGCUUCCAGGAAAAGCCUCUAAGCAUCAGGUAACAUCAAAUCGUACCCCAAACCGACACAGGUGGUCAGGUAGAGAAUACCAAGGCGCUUGAGAGAACUCGGGUGAAGGAACUAGGCAAAAUGGUGCCGUAACUUCGGGAGAAGGCACGCUGAUAUGUAGGUGAAGCGACUUGCUCGUGGAGCUGAAAUCAGUCGAAGAUACCAGCUGGCUGCAACUGUUUAUUAAAAACACAGCACUGUGCAAACACGAAAGUGGACGUAUACGGUGUGACGCCUGCCCGGUGCCGGAAGGUUAAUUGAUGGGGUUAGCGGUAACGCGAAGCUCUUGAUCGAAGCCCCGGUAAACGGCGGCCGUAACUAUAACGGUCCUAAGGUAGCGAAAUUCCUUGUCGGGUAAGUUCCGACCUGCACGAAUGGCGUAAUGAUGGCCAGGCUGUCUCCACCCGAGACUCAGUGAAAUUGAACUCGCUGUGAAGAUGCAGUGUACCCGCGGCAAGACGGAAAGACCCCGUGAACCUUUACUAUAGCUUGACACUGAACAUUGAGCCUUGAUGUGUAGGAUAGGUGGGAGGCUUUGAAGUGUGGACGCCAGUCUGCAUGGAGCCGACCUUGAAAUACCACCCUUUAAUGUUUGAUGUUCUAACGUUGGCCCCUAAUCGGGGUUGCGGACAGUGUCUGGUGGGUAGUUUGACUGGGGCGGUCUCCUCCUAAAGAGUAACGGAGGAGCACGAAGGUUGGCUAAUCCUGGUCGGACAUCAGGAGGUUAGUGCAAUGGCAUAAGCCAGCUUGACUGCGAGCGUGACGGCGCGAGCAGGUGCGAAAGCAGGUCAUAGUGAUCCGGUGGUUCUGAAUGGAAGGGCCAUCGCUCAACGGAUAAAAGGUACUCCGGGGAUAACAGGCUGAUACCGCCCAAGAGUUCAUAUCGACGGCGGUGUUUGGCACCUCGAUGUCGGCUCAUCACAUCCUGGGGCUGAAGUAGGUCCCAAGGGUAUGGCUGUUCGCCAUUUAAAGUGGUACGCGAGCUGGGUUUAGAACGUCGUGAGACAGUUCGGUCCCUAUCUGCCGUGGGCG